rnacentral:rRNA from 1 species
ACGUAGGGUGCGAGCGUUGCCCGGAUUUAUUGGGCGUAAAGGGCGCGUAGGCGGCUCGGUGCGUCCCGCGUGAAAGUUCCUGGCUCAACUGGGAGAUGGCGCGGGAUACGGCCGAGCUCGAGCAAGGUAGGGGGCCAUGGAAUUCCCGGUGUAGUGGUGGAAUGCGUAGAGAUCGGGAGGAACACCAGUGGCGAAGGCGGUGGCCUGGACCUGUGUUGACGCUGAGGCGCGAAAGCGUGGGGAGCGAUCCGGAUUAGAUACCCGGGUAGUCCACGCCGUAAACGAUGCAGACUAGGUGUCGGGGGUAUCGACCCCCUCAGCGCCGGAGCUAACGCAUUAAGUCUGCCGCCUGGGGACUACGGCCGCAAGGCUA